CAUUCACGGAGAGUUUGAUCCUGGCUCAGGACGAACGCUGGCGGCGUGCUUAACACAUGCAAGUCGAACGAUGAACCACUUCGGUGGGGAUUAGUGGCGAACGGGUGAGUAACACGUGGGCAAUCUGCCCUGCACUCUGGGACAAGCCCUGGAAACGGGGUCUAAUACCGGAUACUGACCCGCUUGGGCAUCCAAGCGGUUCGAAAGCUCCGGCGGUGCAGGAUGAGCCCGCGGCCUAUCAGCUUGUUGGUGAGGUAAUGGCUCACCAAGGCGACGACGGGUAGCCGGCCUGAGAGGGCGACCGGCCACACUGGGACUGAGACACGGCCCAGACUCCUACGGGAGGCAGCAGUGGGGAAUAUUGCACAAUGGGCGAAAGCCUGAUGCAGCGACGCCGCGUGAGGGAUGACGGCCUUCGGGUUGUAAACCUCUUUCAGCAGGGAAGAAGCGAAAGUGACGGUACCUGCAGAAGAAGCGCCGGCUAACUACGUGCCAGCAGCCGCGGU
rnacentral:rRNA from 1 species